UCAACUUUCAAUAAUAAUCUUGCGUGUGUGUGUACUGUCUCCCACUGUCAACCAAAGUAAUGUCAAGAUCCCUCUCUGAAACUACCAUUCUAGAUUCUAAGUUGUCAUUCUUUUCCUAUAAUUUUGGAUUUAACCAGAAUUUCAGACUAGGGGGGCUAUUUCUUUUCAAGAGAUCAAAAGCUUUUCAACAUCAACUCAGGGGCAACUACCCUCAAGCUUUAUUAUAGUUUAUUAUUAUUUAUUGUUUUUAAGCUUUAGGUACUACUCCACCUUUUCACCUGACGGGAUCUUACUUGUAAUAAGUCCAACCUGUUACUCAGAGUAGAGCAUCCUACACAGCACUUGUUCCUCCAGUUUCGGGCACAGGAACUUGUUCCUCAAGUUUCGGGCACAGGAACUUAUUAUAUUCAUUAGUUUUAGCUCUUUAACAGUUUCCCUUUUUCUCAAUUAAUAGCAAUGAUCGGUCUAUCUGUUACUCUAGCCUUUCCCCCACACUUAGUUCUAAUCAUACCUCCAUUAUAUUCAAAUUAGAGAACUUAGUCUAAAGAAUAAAUAUUUCAGAG
rnacentral:lncRNA from 1 species